rnacentral:rRNA from 1 species
UACAGAGGUCCCAAGCGUUGUUCGGAUUCACUGGGCGUAAAGGGUGCGUAGGUGGUGAGGUAAGUCGGAUGUGAAAGCUCGGAGCUCAACUCCGAAAUGGCAUUGGAAACUACCUUGCUCGAGGGUUGGAGGGGGGACUGGAAUGCUUGGUGUAGCAGUGAAAUGCGUAGAUAUCAAGCGGAACACCAGUGGCGAAGGCGAGUCCCUGGACAACUCCUGACACUGAGGCGCGACAGCGUGGGGAGCAAACAGG